rnacentral:rRNA from 1 species
UACAGAGGGUGCGAGCGUUAAUCGGAAUUACUGGGCGUAAAGCGUGCGCAGAUGGUCAUGUAAGUCGGGUGUAAAAGCCCCGGGCUCAACCUGGGAAUUGCAUUCGAGACUGCAUGGCUAGGGUGCGGAAGAGGGAAGCGGAAUUUCCGGUGUAGCGGUGAAAUGCGUAGAGAUCAGCAGGAACACCCGUGGCGAAGGCGGCCCCCUGGGCCGUACCUGACGCUGAGGCGG